rnacentral:RNase_P_RNA from 1 species
CAAGUAAACCGGAUAGUCGCAGGCUAAGUACCUUGGGGUAUUAGCCUGAGGAAAGUCGGAGCUCCGUAGGGCAGGGUGCUGGAUAACGUCCAGUGGGGGCGACCCCAAGGAAAGUGCCACAGAAAUAAACCGCCCGGCACUCAAUGAUCCAUAGUAAAUUUAGGUGCGUUUUUUGCCGUACCGCAUUAUGAGUCAUUGAGUGCCGGGUAAGGGUGGAACGGUGAGGUAAGAGCUCACCAGCAUCCAGGUGACUGGAUGGCUAGGUAAACCCCACCUGGAGCAAGACCAAAUAGAGGAACCAUGAAGUUGCCCGCUUCGUUCCCGGGUUAGGUCGCUAGAGUUGUCAGGUAACUGACAACCAAGAUAGAUGACUAUUCAAGACAGAACUCCGCUUACAGAUUUACUUGCUUU